AUGGCGCCAGAGUAGACUGGGACUGUCAUUAUGACAGUUUUAUAGAAGGGUUGAGGUUACGUAUUCAGCUUAUUUGUCUCGUUUUAGAGUUGCCUCAUGAUGUAUUGUUUUUGUUCGCGAAAUAUUGUUAGAAAUUUACUUUUGGGUUAAUCGGGGGGUGUCUGUAGUAGGUGAGAUUGGCUUCACGAUUUCGAGAAACGAUUGUUUUUUACGUUGCUUCGAUGAGACCUUGGGGUUAGUGAUGUGGUAUAUCGUGGGGAUACUACGAAAUCAGUUGCUUAAUCAAUUUCAGGGUUAACAUGUUUUCGCGUUAGCUUGUAUGCUAACUUGAACUCAUGUUUUGCAUCGUAUUCGAUUAAUUUUUGGAAAUGGCUCAAUCGAACGCAUCCUUCUGGUACAUGUAGCUCUUUUUUUGCAACGAGACGAUUUCGAAUGCAUUUUAACAAAUGUGGAAAAUCGGAGCACAUCCGCAGUUUUCUUUUUGGAUUAGCAGGAUGAAUUGUCCACGGCGCAUCCGGAUUUUCGGCACUGCAAGACUUCCACAUGUUUCUGUUCCAUGUAGCACCGUCAGAGAACAAGCUUUGCCAAAAUUGGACCACUGACGCUGCCUUUCGACAAAAAGCACGCAAGAGCUUGAAUAUUUUUGCCUACAAACGACUGAAACAUGAAAACGAGGACGUGGUCUCCCAGUUGAUUUUGUUGAUUAUUGGGUGUAUAAUCGCCCAAAUCCACAAACCCUAUUACUUCCAAACGAUUCUUAUCAAAGUGUUUGCUUGGAGUUAUUUUACAUUCAUCUACCAUUAUCGUUCCAUGUCGUUCAAAUUCCGUCAUAUUUUUGGUUUUUUCUUUUAAAAGUUCAAACAAUUUAUUUUGAAAUCCGUAAGCACUGUCGAUGUUCCUGAUGUAAUUAGAUAGAGUACUCGGUGCAGGCAGAGGAAGCAACUCCCUAGUCCUCAUAUGUCGAUAGAGUUUAGGACUUUUAAUUUUCAAAAGAAUACACGUGUAUAUCCAUUCCUUCGAGUAUCUUUUGCCAAAUACAGGACGACCAACAGUUUCAAAACAUGUACGAACCACCAUUUGUUGAUUUUCUGGUAAUUUAUUAAUAAUAUUUUCGAUCUUAUCUUGAUCCUUCAAAAUUUGACUCAUUUCCGUAAUAGUCUUGGUCUGUCUUUUUUCUUUUCUUUUCAGUCGUAAAUAUAACUGCUUUUUAUUCUUUUUACGCAAAUUUGUUUGUAGUGUAGAUUUUGUCUUUCUGUUGAUGUCCCGUAGUAAAUUUUUUCUUAAAGCAGCACAUGUUUUACAUCUUUCUGUUUUCUUUUGUUUAUUUUCACCAUUGCAAAGGUGGCUCCUUUUGUCGCUAAUUCCUGUACCCAAACAUAAAUUAGCGUCCUCUACUCUAUUAACAAUGUUUAGAACGUCUUCAAAAGUUUGUACAGCAUGCACGGAUCGAAAGAUCCCAUUCAAGUAGACAUUGGCAUUGCAGUUGUCCACAACAACAGCUCUAUCGAUUUUGGGAAUGUUUCCCACUACGCGACUUAUAGUUACGAUAUUUGUGUUGUUGUGAACUCCCCAACCUGAUGGCAAUCGCACAUGUAAUUCUUGAAUAUUUUCUUUUAAAGCCGUUAAUACAUGUUUAUCUGAAAAACUUGUUCGGGAAUGGGAGGGUUGAAGGAUUUCUUGAAAUUUUGAAAUUUGCAUGGUUUCAUUUUGAUGUUCUUGGGAUAUAGAUGGAAUUUGUGGGGAUCUAAAACAAUUUUAAUUUAAAUUUUUGUUAUUAUAUUUUUUAUACGUAAUAAAGUAGUAUAGAUGGA